CUUAUGGACAUGGAGAAUUCCUACAGGGUCGCGUCAGCCAAUUUGAGCACAUUGGGCGUGGCCGCGUGGGGAUGUCAGCGGAGAAGGAUAGCAGGCGGAAAACGAUACUGUUUAUUCAUUUUACCAGAAAAUGCCACAUAAUAGAACAAAACGCGGCUGUGAUGAAAAAAAGUACAGGAACUGACUCGGAGAAUAGUACUUGCAACACGAUGGGAAACUCUCCUCUGACGACCACAUUUUUCCUUCCAGAAUAAUACAAACAAGAUAACUGAUUAAAUAGAAAAUACAUUUUAAAAUCAUCAAAUAUAAUUUAAAAAUAAAUGGCCGGAAAUGGCAAGUGUUUUGAUUAGAGUUUAUUACAUAUGAAGACAUCCAGACAUAGAAACUGUUUAGAACUAACAUCGAGCUCGCAAUAGAAGCGACGACUAUUUCAUUGAUUUAUGGUUGGAAUUCGACUUCUUCAUUUUAAAAAGUAAGUUCUGACUUCUCAUCAUCACUCGUCAGAGAUGGUAACGCGUUUCGGAGCCAUCAGAAA